GAUAAUUAGAUAUUGAUGGAACAAGAUUUUAUAUAUCAAUAUUUGACUAAUUUUAUAGGUUUUAAUUAAUUAGAAGUUUUUUUUUUUUUUUAUAGGUAAUCAAAUAAUUUUAUUACUUAAAAGAGAAUACACGGGAGGUGUACAAUCACUUUAAACUAUUAAGGAAAAACAUGAAAUUAGGCAACCCAUCUACAGGAUUUCUAGCCACAGCAUUAAACCAAGAAUACAAGGUAAAGUAAAAUGUUUCUCUUAUCUGCUCUCUUGUCUUUGUUUGGUCUUCGAAGCAAUGGUUGUUCCUUUCUCUCCACACGCACCAAACAAUGCAGCCCGGGAUAAGGUGCCAUGCUAGUUUGCUAUCCUUAUCCCGAAAUUUUCUACGCCAUGCCCGUAUCACGUCCUCUAUACGACGAGACAUCACCCAAUCCAUAGAUUGUGAACUGAUUAUACUGUUCCAAAUCCAAUUACAUGAUAUUCAAAUCAACAAGACGAAAAAUAAUAUUUCAAACCAACUUAGAUUUAAGAAAAUACUAAUUUUGAAACUUCUAUUUUGAGAAGAAUCAUAUUUUAGGAAAUUUAAAAUAAAUAAAUAAAUAAAUGUAAAUUAUUUUUCAUAAACAAGAGGACAAUGUAAUUUUUAUUUUUUUUAAAAUAUUAAACAUGUAAUGAUAUGAAGAAUUCUUGGCACGCUCCACUCACUACUUAACCACUCUCCAAUUGAUCCCAAGUAUGAAAUGUAAUGUUAUAUUUUUAAUAGGAUUAUGAGCCAUCUUGUUCAUGUUAUGAAAUGUACAAGUACGUUUACCUCGCAUGAUUUAUUAGUCCAAUUUUUUCAUAAAUAUCAGGCAUGGAGUUAAAAUAAUAGUCAUCCAAAGAUUAAGCAUAAUUGAAGUUAUAUUUGUCAUAGAAUUAGGGCUUGGCAACGACUCAAUGACUAGGAAUAGUCCAACAUACCUUCAUCGUGCUCAAAUGACCAUUGAUAACUACAUAAAUUAUGAAGUAAGAUGGGAGCGAACCUUUGUUGAACAUGUCGAAAAUUUCAUUUUUAAAUGGGAGCAAGCAAGAUCGUUUGGAUAUAAUGAGGGGACAGUCCUCUCGAUAUACCAUCUUAUAAGCACAAUGAGGCCUCAGUGGAAAGAUAUAGCUUACUUCGUGAGGGAUAUGGAUUAUGAGCUAUAUUUGCAAGAAGAUUGGGAUAUGACUGAUUUUAAGAAAUACUGUGAAGACAUCAUAAUCUUGUGAAACUACAAACAACAAGAGCUAGUGCCAGAAAUCAAGCCAGAGCUAGAGCCAGAACCAAAACCAAAACCAAAGGAAGAGCCUGAUGAGGGCCCGAGGAGGACUCGGAAGAGGAAAUAGAACCAGAAUCGAAAGACCCUGAGCAAGAACUCGAGUCACUAAAUUUCAUUGUUUAGGUUACGGAUUUUCAGCCCCUAGUCAUGCAUUACUUCAUAUGUGAAAACCCACCAAAAGAAGAUUUUUAGGACUCGAAGAGAAAAAAUUAAUUUGGAUAUGUUAAGCCUAAGAUAUUGAUAUUUAAAGAAAAUUGUUAUCUAAUAGUAUUUUAUUAAAUUGGAGACUGCCACGCGUGCUUUGGAUGCAUACCAUAAAAAUUCUUAAAAAUAGAUACAAUCCCAACAUCAUUAGGUAGGUACUAGGGAAUUAAUUAGAUUGUUGUAAGAUAGACAUGUAGAAAGUGAAAUCCUAGCCCACCAACCACGUGUGUGUCCUAGAAAGAUAAUAAGAUAAAUUUUUAGUUGAUUAGGAUAAAAAUUUCUUAGUGUUACUGUUUAACAAGAAUAACAGUGUCCCACUUCCAAUAGGGAGCUUGCACUAUAAAUACACUAUAACGUCAAUAAAAAUUACACCAUAGAAUAGAGAGAGAGGUCGGUUUGACUACAAUAGACUAUAUAUCAUGCCCGUAUCACGUCCUCUAUACGACGAGACAUCACCCAAUCCAUAGAUUGUGAACUAAUUAUACUGUUCCAAAUCCAAUGUACACCAUCACAAUGAAUGAACAAAUGAUCAAUCGUCUCCCCAUCCUUUUUGCACAUAUAA
rnacentral:lncRNA from 1 species